rnacentral:rRNA from 1 species
AUUGAACGCUGGCGGCGUGCCUAACACAUGCAAGUCGAGCGGUAACAGGUGUAGCAAUACAUGCUGACGAGCGGCGAACGGGUGAGUAAUGCUUCGGAAUCUACCCAAUGGUGGGGAUAACCAGCCGAAAGGUUGGCUAAUACCGCAUACGUCCCACGGGAGAAAGCAGGGGAUCGCAAGACCUUGCGCCAAUGGAUGAGCCGAAGUCGGAUUAGCUAGUUGGAGGGUAACGGCCUACCAAGGCGACGAUCCGUAGCUGGUCUGAGAGGACGACCAGCCACACUGGGACUGAGACACGGCCCAGACUCCUACGGGAGGCAGCAGUGGGGAAUAUUGGACAAUGGGGGAAACCCUGAUCCAGCGACGCCGCGUGUGUGAAGAAGGCCUGC